AUUGAACGCUGGCGGCAGGCCUAACACAUGCAAGUCGAACGAGUGGCGGACGGGUGAGUAAUGUCUGGGAAACUGCCCGAUGGAGGGGGAUAACUACUGGAAACGGUAGCUAAUACCGCAUACCAUCGGAUGUGCCCAGAUGGGAUUAGCUAGUAGGUGGGGUAACGGCUCACCUAGGCGACGAUCCCUAGCAGGUCUGAGAGGAUGACCAGACCCACGUGAACGGAAACACGGUCUGGAUUCCUACGGGAGGCAGGAGUCGAGAAUAUUCCAUGAUGGGCGCAAGCCUAAUGCAGCUAUGCCGCGUGUAUGAAGAAGGCCUUCGGUUUGUAAAGUACUUUCAGCGAGAAGGCGUUACUCGCAGAAGAAGCACCGGCUAAGUCCGUGCCAGCAGCCGCGGUAAUUC
rnacentral:rRNA from 1 species